GGGCGGCGCGGGGCGGCCCCCGACCUCACCGAGCUCAUCCCGCAGUGGCUGGCCACCGCCAACCGGCUGGGGUUCCGGGCCCCGGCCGCCCU
rnacentral:tRNA from 1 species